ensembl:snRNA U5 U5 spliceosomal RNA
UACUCUGGUUUCUUUUAAGAUCAUAUGAGUCUUUUGCCUUUUACUAAAGAUUUCUGUGGAGAGGAACAAUUCUGGGGAAAAACAAAC